GGGUGAUGUCUUCUUACCUUUAUCAAUGAAGGCACUCGGUCAUGCUGUGGGCGUAAAGCCUUAGACGCAAGUCGUCGGGAGUGUGAUGUGAGGAGGGGUUGGAUGCCCC
rfam:Bacillus sp. SA2-6 scf7180000001104, whole genome shotgun sequence.